AUGCAAGUCGAGCGAUAUUCGGGGGCAACCCUGAUGAAAGCGGCGGACUGGUGAGUAACGCGUGGGUGACCUACCUUGAGGAUGGGGAUAGCUGUUAGAAAUAGCAGGUAAUACCGAAUACGGUCGCUUGACUGUGGUUGAGCGAAGAAAGGAGCUACGGCUCCGCCUUGAGAUGGGCCCGCGUCCCAUUAGCUAGUUGGUGAGGUAAAGGCCCACCAAGGCGAAGAUGGGUAGCCGGCCUGAGAGGGUGAACGGCCACACUGGGACUGAGAUACGGCCCAGACUCCUACGGGAGGCAGCAGCUAAGAAUAUUCCACAAUGGACGAAAGUCUGAUGGAGCGACGCCGCGUGGAUGACGAAGGCCGAAAGGUUGUAAAAUCCUUUUGCGGAUGAAGAAUAAGCGGUGGAGGGAAUGCCAUCGUGAUGACGUUAGUCCGCGAAUAAGCCCCGGCUAAUUACGUGCCAGCAGCCGCGGUAACACGUAAGGGGCAAGCGUUGUUCGGAAUUAUUGGGCGUAAAGGGCGCGUAGGCGGCCGCGUAAGUCUGAUGUGAAAACCCCGGGCUCAACCCGGGAACUGCAUUGGAAACUGUGCGGCUUGAGUCACGGAGGGGAAAUCGGAAUUCCUGGUGUAGGGGUGAAAUCUGUAGAUAUCAGGAAGAACACCGGUGGCGAAGGCGGAUUUCCAGCCGAUGACUGACGCUGAGGCGCGAAAGUGCGGGGAGCAAACAGGAUUAGAUACCCUGGUAGUCCGCACUAUAAACGAUGCACACUAGGUGUCGGGACGAGCGUCUCGGCGCCGGAGCGAACGCGAUAAGUGUGCCGCCUGGGGAGUAUGCCCGCAAGGGUGAA
rnacentral:rRNA from 1 species